rnacentral:rRNA from 1 species
UACUUCUUCUUCUCUCUUUCUCCUUCUUUCUUCUUUUUCCCUUUUUCUCCUUCUUUCUUUAAAGUCAGCGGUCAAAGCCCGGGGCUCAACCCCGGCCCGCCGUUGAAACUGGCAGUCUCGAGUUGGAGAGAAGUAUGCGGAAUGCGCGGUGUAGCGGUGAAAUGCAUAGAUAUCGCGCAGAACUCCGAUUGCGAAGGCAGCAUGCCGGCUCCACACUGACGCUGAGGCACGAAAGCGUGGGUAUCGAACAGG